AUUGAACGCUGGCGGCAGGCUUAACACAUGCAAGUCGAGCGGGGUGAUGGUGCUUGCACUAUCACUUAGCGGCGGACGGGUGAGUAAUGCUUAGGAAUCUGCCUAUUAGUGGGGGACAACAUCUCGAAAGGGAUGCUAAUACCGCAUACGUCCUACGGGAGAAAGCAGGGGAUCACUUGUGACCUUGCGCUAAUAGAGGAGCCUAAGUCGGAUUAGCUAGUUGGUGGGGUAAAGGCCUACCAAGGCGACGAUCUGUAGCGGGUCUGAGAGGAUGAUCCGCCACACUGGGACUGCGACACGUCCCAGACUCCUACGGGAGGCAGCAGUGGGGAAUAUUGGACAAUGGGGGGAACCCUGAUCCAGCCAUGCCGCGUGUGUGAAGAAGGCCUUAUGGUUGUAAAGCACUUUAAGCGAGGAGGAGGCUCUUUUGGUUAAUACCCAAGAUGAGUGGACGUUACUCGCAGAAUAAGCACCGGCUAACUCUGUGCCAGCCGCCGCUGUAA
rnacentral:rRNA from 1 species